rnacentral:lncRNA from 1 species
AACUGAUUCCCUUCCUCUCAUUUCUUUCUUUACUAAUUCUACAGAAUUUGCUCUGGGAAAAAAAAAAAUAGAGAAACCUUCAGUACUGAAAGCAUUUGAAAAAAUAUGAUGAGUCAGAGGAAAAAUGUAUUGCAACCAUUGGGGCUAUCCUGGAAGUAUGUCAUUAUAUCUCUUCUUCUGAGAGAGGAAGAAUAAUGAAGUCUUUCAUCUCCUUGGGCAAAUUCUUUGGUCUGGCAACAGGUAGCAAGAACUUCUUCUCACCCUGCAAGUACUCUACAAAUACUUGCAAGUACAGCAAAUACUUGCCUUCAGAAUGAAGUAGCAUCAGUGCCAGGUGUUUUCAGGUCAUUCUGUGCUGCAGAGGACAAGAAGAAAAUGCAGCCCAUGGGCCAUUCUGCAACCCUCUUCCACUUUUCUUGGCUUUCUUGACACAAGCGAGAGCAUAUACCUAUAAAACAUGUACCCUGUUUGCAAAAUCCAUCAUGGUCUCUUUUUGGUUACUGUUGCUUGGAAGAAAUAAACAUUUUUCCCAAACCCACAGGAAGCUUCUCCAUGAGGAAUCCAGGGCUAGCCUGAAUAUGUUGCUGAGGGACACCAUGGUGUUACAGUAUAAGUGGCUGUACAACUUAACAACAGAAGCCAAGCUGAUGAGAGAAUGUCAUGGGUCACAGCUUGGGCAUUGA